rnacentral:rRNA from 1 species
AUUGAACGCUGGCGCAUGCUUUACACGAUGCAAGUCGAACGGCAGCACGGGUGCUUGCACUGGUGCGAGUGGCGACGGGUGAGUAAUGCAUCGGAACGUGUCCUGGAAGUGGGGAUAACGCAUCGAAAGAUGUGCUAAUACCGCAUAUUCUCUGAGGAGGAAAGUAGGGGAUCGAAAGACCUUAUGCUUUUGGAGCGGCCGAUGUCUGAUUAGCUAGUUGGUAGGGUAAUGGCUUACCAAGGCGACGAUCAGUAGUUGGUCUGAGAGGACGACCAGCCACACUGGGACUGAGACACGGCCCAGACUCCUACGGGAGGCAGCAGUGGGGAAUUUUGGACAAUGGGCGCAAGCCUGAUCCAGCAAUGCCGCGUGAGUGAAGAAGGCCUUCGGGUUGUAAAGCUCUUUCAGUUGAGAAGAAAAAGUCGCGACUAAUAAUCAUGAUUCAUGACGGUAUCAACAGAAGAAGCACCGGCUAACUACGUG